AAAUAACAAACUUUCAUUUUCUACUCUAUCUCUGAAUUACUUUUUAGUUUCCCUUCAGUGAGACAAAGGAGAGCAGAAGCAAAGGCUUUGGUGUCCCACAGAUCUGUGUUCAAAUCUUGAUUCUACAGGGAGAGAUGGUUCGGUUGGGAAAGUGCCUGUCACUCAAGUAUGAGGAGUUGAGUUCAAGUGUCAGCAUUUACGUAAAAUGCUGGAUGCCAAGGACACACAUCCGGAAUUUCAGAGCUAGGAGGUUGAGGCAGGUUGCUAACCAUGACAGCAAACCACAUAAAUUGAGCAAUCAUCUCUGCCGGAGGAGGUCAGUCUCAGUGCUUUCCUUGAAUUGUUUCCUAGAAGGACUCCUGCAGAGUUUGGGCGCAUCAUCACAGGGCCACCGAAAGGCAGUCUUGUUUCAUGCCAGCAGCGGGGCUGUCAGAGCUCAGCGCCCAACACAGAAGAAAAACGUCCUCGGAUUCAGCCAUUUAGGAGUUCCACACUUGGGACACACUGCCAGCCUUUGACCCCG
rnacentral:lncRNA from 1 species